CAUAUGAUCACUGAAGUUAAGUGAGGCUGAGCAUGGUCAGUACCUAAGUGGGUGACCACUUGUGAAUACCAGGUGCUGUAUGC